UUCGAUGCGGGUCACAUCUUGUGGUCGCUCAACAAAUAGAUGAUUGAAUGACAGGAAUCAUCGUCCAGUCUUCGAUAGAAUCCCCUUAGUGUCACCCGCAUGCUGCGAGCUAUCCAUGGGGGACGCCUAUGCAAGAAAGGCGGGGAUCGGGGACAGGGAUUAUGGACACCUGUGUACCUGACAGUGCCUUAACAUGAUGGCCUUACUCUCAUGGUGCUACAAAAGCAGCAAGACAAAACAAGGACAGAAGCAGCGGUGCUUCUGGGCAGCUCCAUCCAAUGCCCGAAAUCCAUGAAGAGCUCCAUUCUACUCGUCGCCCUGAUGCAAGGACUCGGGACUCAUCAUUGGCCACCACAAACCACAUCUGUUGUACUUAAAGCUCAGCUCCGCCGAUUUUCGACUGCGACAGAAUGGAGCCAUGCUUGGGCUGUGCGUUCGUUUCCGCACAGGGAGCAUACAUGUGAAAAAUUUUCACCCAUUUGUUUGUAGUUUUUAAAAAAACAAUUUUUUUAAUUUUCCUGGCACGGCGGUCCUGUGGUCGGCAAACCCUGACCAAUCCCGGCUUCGUCCUGGCUUAGCCGCGCUCGUGGCUUGGCUAACGCCAAAUCGUCGAUGCGAUGGCGGAGAUCUAUGGGCGAACGUGAAUGUUUUGGGUGUGUUCCGUGAUAAUUGCUGUCGUUAAUAGCCUCAAAGAUAGUUUUGCCGGUCUUUUUAACAAGCCUUACAGGAUGGCCUCGUUGUGCAACGACGGCCGUCGUGAGCGGACAUUCUGUGCCCGCACUCUGCUUCAUGCUACCAACAAGACCUAACACCUAACGUGUGACGUACACUUACGCAUUCUCAAUAGCUUUGGCAGUGCACUAUGCGCGGACUUGCUGCGCGUGCAGAAAGCACCACCAAAGCUAUUGAGAACGAGAACGUGCUCGAAGACGAAGUAUUCCUUAUAAGAAACAUGAUAAAACGGUGCGGUGGUCCCCGAUAGCUCGUGACAGCUGUUUCAGCACGAUACAGCGGCCAUGACGGAGUGUAAACACAAACUGGUUGCCAGGCAGAGCUGGCUAGGUGUGGCUAUCCAAUCCGCGCAGUUCCAAGUAUGACGUCACAAGUGGAACCGCCGCCCGGUAGUUUUUCUCAAAUUUCUCACGAAGGAGUAUGAAAAUUUGGAAAGCAAUGUGCGUUUAUGAAUGAAGCUGGGACCACGGUUCUGAAUAUCACAACGUCUUCAUACUUUCGGAACAGCAGCGGAGCUGCACUUUAACGGUGGUUCCACAAGUUUCCGGCCCAAGGUAGAAAAUGCGCGCGAAUUUGAAAAAAUGCGAUUAAGGACGCGUGGCGCCAUCUGUUGGAGGGCCGGAGCACCACCCUCAACCCUCUCCAUGCUUUUGUCGGUUGGAGAGUGGCAUUUCAAACAGCCAGGGUGCACUCUUCAGUUAAAAUGGAAAAAAUCGAGUACCGCGCUGUGAUAAAAUUCUUGACAAAAGAGGGACUUUCGCCUAGGGAAAUUAAAGCGCGACUGGACAACGUGUACAGGGAAGCCUCUACGUCAUACA